UACGUAGGGGGCAAGCGUUGUCCGGAUUUACUGGGCGUAAAGGGCGUGUAGGCGGUUUUUUAAGUCAGGUGUGAAAGUUCGGGGCUUAACCCCGGAAUUGCAUUUGAAACUGGAGAACUUGAGUACUGGAGAGGUAAGUGGAAUUCCUAGUGUAGCGGUGAAAUGCGUAGAUAUUAGGAGGAACACCAGUGGCGAAGGCGACUUACUGGACAGAUACUGACGCUGAGGCGCGAAAGCGUGGGGAGCGAACAGG
rnacentral:rRNA from 1 species